AGUAGCUGCUAGGGACCUACCAGAGAACCUUGAGGAACUUAUAACCCAUCUUACCCAUAUUGAUGAGAGGUUGAGACAUAGGCAAAACACAAGAGAAAGAUCUAGAAAAGCUGCUGUAUGAUUGGCUCCUUUAUUUCCUGCUGACUCUAUGGCUUUGGCUAUACCUGAAUCUAUGCUGCUAGGCAUGACAAGAUUGACUGAGGCAGAAAGAAUGCAUAGAAAAAGAGAGGGUCUAUGCAUGUAUUGCGGAAAGAGGUGGUCAGCUUUGCUUAUCUUGUCCUGAAAGACCGGAAACUGGAGGGGAGUCAUGAUGUCCGUGGGGCCAAACCCACCAAACACCAACGUGCUCUCAUGUUUUGGGGCCCUUUUUACACCAAACAUAUCCCCAAUCAUAUAAAAGCACACUUAGGCCAGUACACAGUGCCCUGUUGCAUUCUUUUUCUGUAUUUUGUCCUUUUGAUAUUUGACUCACCUUUUCCCUUGACCAUUCUGUUUUCUGGUUCCCUUGACCUGGCUUUGGCUAUCGUUCUUGUGAUUUUCUGGCUCCCUUUGACCUUUUCUUGUUCUGACAUUGUUUUAUAAUUUAAAAAAAAAAAUGGAUUAGUCUGGCCACUCAAAGGCCACUUUUGUAAUGUUGGAAUACCACACGGUUUAAAACAGUUUUUUAACAUGAUUUGAAGAAGAAAAAAACCCCAGUAAAACCUCUGUACAAAAUUGAAAACAGAAACUGCAAAUGGACAGCUGUUUAUGGCGUUUUGCUUUGGAGUAACCCAUUGGUUGCAUGUCCUAAUGCAGAAUUUAAACUUCCACAUUGUUAAUAGUCC